rnacentral:ncRNA from 1 species
AAAAGAUUUAGUCCUAACCUUACCAUUAGUUCUUACCAGGUGUAUACAUGCAAGUAUCCGCACCCCAGUGUAAAUGCCCACGGCCUCUUAUCAAGAACACAAGGAGCGGGCAUCAGGCACACACCCCUAUCGUAGCCUAAGACGCCUUGCCCAGCCACACCCCCACGGGUAUUCAGCAGUAACUAGCAUUGAGCUAUGAGCGAAAGCUUGACUCAGCCAUGGUGAUCCCAGGGUUGGUAAAUCUUGUGCCAGCCACCGCGGUCACACAAGAGACCCAAACUAAUCGUACACGGCGUAAAGAGUGGUACCACGCUAUCACACUAGCUAGGGCUAAAAUGCCACUGAGCUGUCACAAGCCCAAGUCGCACAUAAAACCCACGACUAAAGUGGCCCUAGCGCUCGUGACUAACUAACCCCCACGAAAGCCAGGGCACAAACUGGGAUUAGAUACCCCACUAUGCCUGGCCCUAAAUCUUGAUGUUUUCCCUACUAAAUCAUCCGCCUGAGGACUACGAGCACAAACGCUUAAAACUCUAAGGACUUGGCGGUGCCCCAAACCCACCUAGAGGAGCCUGUUCUAUAAUCGAUAACCCACGAUAUACCUGACCCUUCCUAGCCAAAGCAGCCUAUAUACCGCCGUCGCCAGCUCACCUUCCCUGAAAGCACAACAGUGAGCUCAAUAGCCUCCAACCCCGCUAACAAGACAGGUCAAGGUAUAGCCCAUGGGGGGGAAGAAAUGGGCUACAUUUCCUAGAAUAGAAAAUCCACGAAAAGGGGCAUGAAACUCCCCUGGAAGGCGGAUUUAGCAGUAAAGCGGGACAAUAGCGCCCCCUUUAAGUCGGCCCUGGGGCACGUACACACCGCCCGUCACCCUCCUCACAAGCUACUCGUCCCAUAAAUAAUACGCAUUCCAGCUGAAGACGAGGUAAGUCGUAACAAGGUAAGUGUACCGGAAGGUGCACUUAGCAUAC